rnacentral:rRNA from 1 species
UACGAAGGGGGCUAGCGUUGCUCGGAAUUACUGGGCGUUAAGCGCACGUAGGCGGUCUUUUAAGUCGGGGGUGAAAUCCUGGAGCUCAACUCCAGAACUGCCUUCGAUACUGGAAGACUUGAGUCCGGGAGAGGUGAGUGGAACUGCGAGUGUAGAGGUGAAAUUCGUAGAUAUUCGCAAGAACACCAGUGGCGAAGGCGGCUCACUGGCCCGGUACUGACGCUGAGGUGCGAAAGCGUGGGGAGCAAACAGG